UACGUAGGGUGCGAGCGUUAAUCGGAAUUACUGGGCGUAAAGCGUGCGCAGGCGGUUUUGUAAGCCAGAUGUGAAAUCCCCGGGCUUAACCUGGGAAUGGCAUUUGGGACUGCAAGGCUGGAGUGCGGCAGAGGAGACUGGAAUUCCUGGUGUAGCAGUGAAAUGCGUAGAUAUCAGGAGGAACACCGGUGGCGAAGGCGGUUCUCUGGGCCGAUACUGACGCUGAGGAGCGAAAGCAUGGGUAGCGAACAGG
rnacentral:rRNA from 1 species